rnacentral:rRNA from 1 species
AUUGAACGCUGGCGGCAGGCCUAACACAUGCAAGUCGAACGAGUGGCGGACGGGUGAGUAAUGUCUGGGAAACUGCCAGAUGGAGGGGGAUAACUACUGGAAACGGGAGCUAAUACCGCAUACUAUCGGAUGUGCCCAGAUGGGAUUAGCUAGUAGGUGGGGUAAUGGCUCACCUGGGCGACGCUCCCUAGCUGGUCUGAGCGGAUGACCGGCCACACGGGAACUGAGCCACGGUCCAGACUCCUACGGGAGGCAGCAGUGGGGAAUAUUGCACAAUGGGCGCAAGCCUGAUGCAGCCAUGCCGCGUGUAUGAAGAAGGCCUUCGGGUUGUAAAGUACUUUCAGAGGGGAGGCGUUACUCACAGAAGAAGCACCGGCUAACUCCGUGCCAGCAGCCGCGGUAAUAC